ACGAAAGAGGCACGCGAUGAACGCGUUUCCUUUCUGGCUGUGAGCGCGUGAGCUGAUCUGAUCUCCCUCGUGCGUCCCAGUAACUAUCAACAUGGCUGUGAAUGAUGAUGAGCCCUGGAACUGGACCUGGGCUUCCUUCACUAGACGGAUCUUGAUAAAGUUCCACCACCUUUGCAAGGAUUGAUGCACAGUGCUGUAAAGUCGACCAGGGUGUGGAUGGCUGUGGGCCUGAUGCACUGGAGAAUUUUCUCUACAUUUGUUGCUGCAUUCAAGUCCACCAACAGGUGAAAGAUGGUUGAUCUGCUAUUUGAGAAUCAAGGUGAUUAUUGGGGUCAGUGGGAUCAAUGGGGCCCAAUGGAAGAAGAAAUCCUUCUUGGAUUUAAGGAAAAUCACACAGCAAACCGUUUAUGGGACACUGAAUUGGCUUUAAUGUGAUCUGCUUUAAAAUCCUUAAGGUGAUUAUAGCUGUUAAUGGGAUCAUUGGGCCCAAUGGAAGAAGAAAUCCUUCUUGGAUUUAAGGAAAAUCACACAGCAAACUGUUUAUGGGACACUAAAUUUGCUUUAAUGUGAUCUGCUUUAAAAUCCUUAAGGUGAUUAUAGCUGUUAAUGGGAUCAGUGGGCCCAAUGGAAGAAGAAAUCCUUCUUGGAUUUAAAGAAAAUCCCUCCCCAAACAGUUUAUGGGACACUGAAUUGGCUUUAAUGUGAUGAACUGCUUUCAAAUCCUUAAGACUGAUACGGCCGUGAUUGGCUGGAGAUGAACACAUCGGUCUGAAAGUGCUUGAUGGGAACCGUUUCUGAACUGGAGACUGACGUUGCUGUGGAUGACUGGAGAGCAACACGUGGGCUUGAUUCAUCCGACUGGAUUCUAAUGUUGCACCUCAGAACAUGAGAAUUGUGAACUUCUAGAUAAGGAAAGAGUGCUAAUGGUAUAAAUAUUAAAAUUCUGAACUGCUUUUAUUUUAUUAUUGACACCUCGAGAGCUGCAGGCAGCGUAUGAUUAUCAGUUUGUCUGAAGUUCAAUAAAAUGGCUCUUAAAAUACA